rnacentral:rRNA from 1 species
CCUACGGGAGGCAGCAGUGGGGAAUAUUGGACAAUGGGGGGAACCCUGAUCCAGCCAUGCCGCGUGGGUGAAGAAGGCCCUCGGGUUGUAAAGCACUUUCAGUGAGGAAGAACGCCUGGUGGUUAAUACCCAUCAGGAAAGACAUCACUCACAGAAGAAGCACCGGCUAACUCCGUGCCAGCAGCCGCGGUAAUACGGAGGGUGCGAGCGUUAAUCGGAAUUACUGGGCGUAAAGCGCGCGUAGGUGGCUUGAUAAGCCGGUUGUGAAAGCCCCGGGCUCAACCUGGGAACGGCAUCCGGAACUGUCAAGCUAGAGUGCAGGAGAGGAAGGUAGAAUUCCCGGUGUAGCGGUGAAAUGCGUAGAGAUCGGGAGGAAUACCAGUGGCGAAGGCGGCCUUCUGGACUGACACUGACACUGAGGUGCGAAAGCGUGGGUAGCAAACAGGAUUAGAUACCCUAGUAGUC